GUAUCGUCUAUGCGAAAGAGAGUAAUGUUUGUAACAGAAUGAAGCGAUUCGGGGAUGGUGGGAGCCCGGCAACUGAGCAAACAUGAACCGGACUUUCAAGACACUGUUCUGAAUGAAGUAGGAUCAGUCGGACUCGCCGUUAUCGAGUAAAGCUGGCUCGUUAGCGAGCAACCAGAGUGGUACCGCGGGUUAAUCUCCGUCUCUUAU
rnacentral:ncRNA from 1 species